rnacentral:rRNA from 1 species
UACAGAGGGUCUCAAGCGUUGUUCGGAUUCAUUGGGCGUAAAGGGUGCGUAGGUGGCGCGCUAAGUCAGGUGUGAAAUUUCGGAGCUUAACUCCGAAACUGCAUUUGAUACUGGCGUGCUUGAGGGACUGGAGAGGAGACUGGAAUUCAUGGUGUAGCAGUGAAAUGCGUAGAGAUCAUGAGGAAGACCAGUGGCGAAGGCGGGUCUCUGGACAGUUCCUGACACUGAGGCACGAAGGCCAGGGGAGCAAACGGG